CAGAACCAGUAGAGAGUAGGUCCACUCUCCUCAAGGCUAGCAUCAGAACCAGUAGAGAGUAGGACCACUCUCCUCAAGGCUAACAUCAGAACCAGUAGAGAGUAGGUCCACUCUCCUCAAGGCUAACAUCAGAACCAGUAGAGAGGAGGUCCACUCUCCUCAAGACUAGCAUCAGAACCAGUAGAGAGGAGGUCCACUCUCCUCAAGGCUAGCAUCAGAACCAGUAGAGAGUAGGUCCACUCUCCUCAAGACUAGCAUCAGAACCAGUAGAGUAGGUCCACUCUCCUCAAGGCUAACAUCAGAACCAGUAGAGAGUGGGUCCACUCUCCUCAAGACUAGCAUCAGAACCAGUAGAGUAGGUCCACUCUCCUCAAGGCUAGCAUCAGAACCAGUAGAGAGGAGGUCCACUCUCCUCAAGGCUAGCAUCAGAACCAGUAGAGAGUAGGACCACUCUCCUCAAGACUAACAUCAGAACCAGUAGAGAGUAGGUCCACUCUCCUCAAGGCUAACAUCAGAACCAGUAGAGAGUAGGACCACUCUCUUCAAGGCUAGCAUCAGAACCAGUAGAGAGUAGAACCACUCUCCUCAAGGCUAGCAUCAGAACCAGUAGAGAGUAGGUCCACUCUCCUCAAGGCUAGCAUCAGAACCAGUAGAGAGUAGGACCACUCUCCUCAAGGCUAGCAUCAGAACCAGUAGAGAUUAGGACCACUCUCCUCAAGGCUAGCAUCAGAACCAGUAGAGAGUAGGUCCACUCUCCUCAAGGCUAGCAUCAGAACCAGUAGAGAGUAGGUCCACUCUCCUCAAGGCUAGCAUCAAAACCAGUAGAGUAGGACCACUCUCCUCAAGGCUAGCAUCAGAACCAGUAGAGAGUAGGACCACUCUCCUCAAGGCUAGCAUCAGAACCAGUAGAGAAUAGGACCACUAUCCUCAAGGCUAGCAUAAGAACCAGUAGAGAGUAGGUCCACUCUCCUCAAGACUAGCAUCAGAACCAGUAGAGAGUAGAACCACUCUCCUCAAGGCUAGCAUCAGAACCAGUAGAGAGUAGGUCCACUCUCCUCAAGGCUAGCAUCAGAACCAGUAGAGAGUAGGUCCACUCUCCUCAAGGCUAGCAUCAGAAC
rnacentral:lncRNA from 1 species